UCCUGGCUGGCUCAGUCAGUAGAGCUUGAGACUCUUAAUCUCAGGGUUGUGAGUUUGAGCCCCAUGUUGGAUG
rnacentral:tRNA from 1 species